rnacentral:rRNA from 1 species
AUGGACCAAUCCAUCCCUUUUUCCCGUGCAUAUGCAUCGGACUUGGAUGACGAUGGUCCCGAUGAAGACGUUGAUGAGGAGGGGUUCACACCGAAUGAGGCCCAAGCAUUCAAGAAGGUAUUCGGGCGGGAUCACAAGACACCAUUUUUCAAGGAUCUUAGUCUCGCGGAUGAAUCCGUUGUGGAUGGUGGCACAUGCAUAUCUCUUGGAGCUAGGCCAAGUUCUCAU